UUGUCCUUGGGCCUGUCCUGGUUCCUAGGGGUUCAGUUUACUGGGAUGGGCGCUGACAGUGCUUUAAUCCCAGAGUACGAACUCUGCCUGGGGAAAGGAGGGGGUUUGCGAGGAAUGCAGCCCUCAGACAAGUCAUAGGCUCACUGGUGUGGGAUGAAGGCUCCUCCUGAUAGUUACAGACAGCAGCAGAAUUCCAAGUAACACCUGUAGCAGCUGGUUGAGCUGUGUUUGGGAGUGCAGGACUCCUGGGUUCUAUGGCCAGCUGGGCUAGUGCUGCUCUGUGAAUAGUCGUGUCCCCUCUCUGUACCCUGGUUCCCUGUAUUUGCAGUGGUGAUAAUUCUACCCCCGCCCCUGCUGUGUCAGUAUUUUAAACAUUGGGCCAGCUCAGGAGUCAAUACUCUAUAGUUCUUAACUUGCCCUCUCUAGCAGGCUUAGAACUAGGGCAGAUGGAAGCUCUUUUUAGCCUCAAGAUGAGCUCCCCUUAUUCACACCCACCUCUAGUGGAGAAUCCAAUCAGGAAAGGCUGAAGCUGGCUGGGGAUAGGGAUCAGAUGAAAAGGGCCAGAGGUGGGGGAUCAAGCUCCUGCAGUCUCAAGCAGGGAGAAGGGUAUGGAGGAAGGAUCCCCUUGAGACUACUUAAUUCUUAAUGGGCUGCUCUUGUGAUUAGGGUGCUGGCUUCCUGGCUUGCCAGAGAAUGGGUGUUGUCUGUGCACCCCUCUUCCUGAUAGGCUGGGGCUGAGCAUAGUGAGCUGUUCUUUCCUUUUAAGAUACCAUAUGCUGGGGUAGGUUGGAAUUGUAUGGGACCUCCCAGCCUAUGCUGUGGUGGAGAUGGCAGCUUUGCUAUACCCUGCUGCUUUGCCCUAGCAGCAGAGAAUUAACCUGGGGGCAAAGUUCCUCUCCCUUGUGCUGUUUCAGUUGCACUCAGAGACUUUCUCGUCUGUACUGAACAGCAGCUCCACCCCAGAAGCAGCUCCUGGGCUCCUCAUAUGCUGUGCUGUCAGGAUGACCCAGCAGUAGUUAUCCCAGUAGUAACAAGGGCAGUCCUACCCAGCCAGUUAUCACUGCCCCUUAGUGUGUGGGACGCCUGGGCUGUGGCAGGGCAGCUAAGCAUGGAGGAUGCCAUGGGGUCAUCUGUUAAUGCAAGAGGCAGCAACAGCUUCUCCCUCUACCAAAUAGGGCAUUAGGCUGGGCAGGGCAGAAAUGCCAGCUGAGAACAGCUUGAUUUCUAGAUGCACAGCUCUCUGCAGGGCACAUGCUCAGCACCCCUACUAUAUUUGCAACCACAAAGGAAAUGCACCUCAUUUGAAUGCAGUGGGCCAAAGCAGGCGGCCUGAAUGCACCAACCAAGCUGCAGCUGUGAUUGUGUUACUGGGCUGUUAUUCUUGCAGCUGGCUUGGCUAGGGAAAGCAUUUUAGCUUAACAUGCAGGGGGCAGAAACAGCCUGGCCCCACUCUCUCUUCCCAUGCUAGCUGUCCUAUUCCCAAUGGGGAGAGACAGAGACUGAUAUUCCAGUUCAGAUCCACAGUGGCAGUUUUCUUUGUUCUGAUCCAGGACUGAAAUUAACCCUGAAGCCAUGCCCCUCGCCCUUGUGCUGUAACACUCCACCUCCCUGCAGCAGCUGUUUGCAGUCGGAUCACAGCACUAGAACAGCAAGGAGCCAGCUAGAGUCCCCUUAGAUGCAGGCACUGCUUCUCUGUGCCCGGGAGAGGUUGUUAGAGGAGAAUGGUACAGAGAUGAUUUAAGGGGCUGGAGGAAAGUUAGAUGAGAGACCCUGUAACUAGGCUUAGCAGUGGGUGAGGUUAACUCUUUAAGUACCCAAAUGGUGAAAUGCAAUAGAUUCCCCCCACUCUGCUGGGCUAUUUAGGGUGUACACUUGCUUAGCAGCACCAUGUGGGGUAUAAUUUUCCCCAAGGGAUGGGAGCUUAUGUAUUUGGGGUCCCAUGCCCUAGGACUGGCUGGAGCAAACCAAUUAGCCUUCAUGUGGCUUUAAUUUGCAAGGCCCCUCACACUGGGUAAGUUCUCCCUGUUUAACACAGAAAUCUGAGGCAUGUGGGUGUGUGUCACUGCUGCUUACAGAGGAUGUUGGGUAGAGAGCCAGGAUUGGAACCCAGGAGUCCUCAUCCUGGAGCUAGAGCUGGUUUAUGCCUAUUUUGCAGCUACUUGAGUUCAGAGGCUGCAGAGUGCAGUGAUCAAAGCUUUCCACCUUGCUAGAGAUCUCUCUGAAACAUGCUGCCUUUGGCAAGGAGAUGGGACCCUUCACAUAGCUAGUGGAUUUUAUUUCCUACAGUGGAACCUGGAGGAACCAGUCAAGGUCAGGGCCCCAUUGUGCCAGGUGCUGGAGACACACAGUGAAAGACAGUCUCUGCCCCAGAGAGUUUUCAGUUGAAAUAGUCAAAGAGUGAGAGUGGAAGGUCACCCCACAGCUCAGUGGCAGAGCUGGGAAUAGAACCCAGGCAUCCUGAGUCCUUUUCUAACAUCCUAGUCACUGAAAGAUCUACAGAAUCUCAUCCAAAACUCAGCCCAUUUGGAAGAAGGUGCCACCUUCUAGACUUAGACCCAAAGAUGUUCUAAAUCACAGAUCUGCUCUAUCUGCUUCCCCUGGAGGUGGAGUGGGAUUUGAGAUAGGGGCAACAGGGUGGAUGGGCCUAUGGCCCCACAGAAAGCUUGCCCACUCAUAUGCUAGGCCAGAGAGAUCAGCAUUUUAAUUCUACCUAAGAAACCUUAGUUACAUUUCCCCCUCCAAGACUAGACAUAGAAAACCAGGAUUAUUCCAAACAUCCCCCAGAGAAACCAGGGAGAGAUGGACACUUCAUGCCCCCUUUAUCUAAUGUGGAAUUGUCCUGCCAGACCCCUCCUUCCCAAUGGGUGGAGCUAGCUGCCCAGCCAAUGUGGUGUUGGGAUAGCUGGGUGGGUCCUCAAAUCCCUGUUGACCAAAGGAUACCAUCCUGAUGCUGAUUGGCUGGAUGGUUAGAGAAAUAGCAGGAGUUUGGGGCAGGUGUGACAGGCAUUUGAGGGGGAUGAGAGCCAGUGGCAGUGACUGGGUAUUGGUCACCGGUCUUGGAAGCUGCAGAGGAAAAUGACCCAGAGAGAUGCUGCAGGCUGCUACAGCUUCCCCCUUUCCAGGAUCACUCCACUGAAGGCCAUGGCUGGUGCUGGCAGCUGGUGGGAAGAUCCCAGCACCCCGUUCAGAGCUGGCGAGCUGAGGGACAGGCCGGUGUCUCUCAGGAAGCACCUGAGGAGCCAGAAGGAGAAGCAGAGCAUUGCUGAGCGACUGAGCCUCAGUUUCAGCUUGGUGCCCAGGAAGUCUCCCCUGGGCUAUUACCUGGGCAGGCUUGUGCCCUCCAAGACCUGCUCUUUCCGCCAGAGCCUGCCUGUGGAGGCCAGCCUGGGCAUUGCCUGGCAGCCUGUGGUGCACUCUCCCAACACCAUCACCUCCCGCAGGGCUUCUGCAGGGGCCUGGCAGGCUAGCACUGCCCUGAGAACAGGCCGUGCCACAGACCAGACCCAGCUCAAGGGCAGCAGGAUCCUGACCAAGCCAGCUCUUGGUAGAGUGAGACCCAUCUCCUCUCCCAGGGCAGUGAUGCUGUUUGAGCUGCCCCGUCCUGCUGCCCAGAAGCCCAAACCCACCAGCAGGCACAAGCUUGCUGCGGUCAAACCAGCCAUCAAUGCCAGGAGGGCCCAGCUGGCAGAAUGGCAAGCUGCCAAGGGCAAGGUUCUGAAGAGGCCCCCUUGUGUAAUGGUCCCUGCUCCUCCGAAGAGAUGCUUGUCCAAGGAGCCCUCUGUCCUGUCCUCCUGGACCACCAUAAUGGAUGAAGAGGAGAUGAAAUCGGAGCCGGACCAAGCCAGCCUGGCAGUUCUGGAGUAGCCCAGCCAAGCUGGCGGGGGCGCCCGCAGGGAGGAGGUACCUCCAUGGGACCCAGCCACUCAGGAGGCCCAGGACUCUGAGUACUGGGUCCAUCUUGAACAGCCUGCAGGGGCUGCUGGGAGUGCCUGCCCUGCUGGCAAGGGGCCUGAGCAUCUAGCAGAUGAGCAGUGUGGAUCAGCGAGGGCUGUGGACAAUGGCAAGAGACUCCUGUAUGCAUCUACGCUGCAGAUCAGUGUGUGGAAGAGACUAUCCAAGCUGCCACGCUCUGCUCCACACCCAUCUUCCCUGGCUGCAGAGUGAACCCAUUGUGCUACUGGCCUAUAUCCCUUGCUCAGUCUGUCUUGGCUGAUCUGAGAAGAUUUUGGGAAGGAGAGAAUCUGCAUUUGGACGCUCCCAGGGCUCUCUCUUUAAAGUCUCCCAGUUGUGUACAGCCCUCUCCAUACCCCAUGUCAUGUGGUGCUUUUCCUGUUUCCUGUUUUAGCUGUCGAGGACCCUUGUAGGGAAUCCAAAACACUGGAACCCUAAAGAGACGUUUCAUGGCAGGGCAGGGCCUGAACUAGGACAAGCCGUAACCCCCAAAAGGGCUGUGGAUCUAAAUGUCUCAUCUUUUACAUUUGAAUCUGAACUCCAGCAUUGCUCCCAUCUAACUUUUAUAUCUGUCUGUCAUCAAGCUGUCUGCAAAGCCACGUUUUAUGUAACCUGUACUGAACUCUUCAAUAAAAGUCUAAUAAAGAUCCUA